UCAUCGACAAGUCGAGCGAACAGAUAAGGGAGCUUGCUCCUUUGACGUUAGCGGCGGACGGGUGAGUAACACGUGGGUAACCUACCUAUAAAACUGGAAUAACUCCGGGAAACCGGGGCUAAUGCCGGAUAACAUUUAAAACCGCAGGGUUCUAAAGUGAAAGAUGGUUUUGCUAUCACUUAUAGAUGGACCCGCGCCGUAUUAGCUAGUUGGUAAGGUAAGGGCUUACCAAGGCAACGAUACGUACCCAACCUGAGAGGGUGAUCGGCCACACUGGAACUGAAACACGGUCCAAACUCCUACGGGAGGCAGCAGUAGGGAAUCUUCCGCAAUGGGCGAAAGCCUGACGGAGCAACGCCGCGUGAGUGAUGAAGGGUUUCGGCUCGUAAAACUCUGUUAUUAGGGAAAAACAAACGUGUAAGUAACUGUGCACGUCUUGACGGUACCUAAUCAAAAAGCCACGGCUAACUACGUGCCAGCAGCCGCGGUAAUACGUAGGUGGCAAGCGUUAUCCGGAAUUAUUGGGCGUAAAGCGCGCGUAGGCGGUUUCUUAAGUCUGAUGUGAAAGCCCACGGCUCAACCGUGGAGGGUCAUUGGAAACUGGGAGACUUGAGUGCAAAAGAGGAAAGUGGAAUUCCAUGUGUAGCGGUGAAAUGCGCAGAGAUAUGGAG
rnacentral:rRNA from 1 species